rnacentral:rRNA from 1 species
CCUACGGGUGGCAGCAGUGAGGAAUAUUGGUCAAUGGUCGGGAGACUGAACCAGCCAAGCCGCGUGAGGGAUGAAGGUACAGAGUAUCGUAAACCUCUUUUGUCAGGGAACAAAGGCGGGGACGCGUCCCCGGAUGAGUGUACCAGAAGAAAAAGCAUCGGCUAACCCGGUGCCAGCAGCCGCGGUAAUCCGGAGGAUGCGAGGGUUAUCCGGAUUUAUUGGGUUUAAGGGGUGGGCAGGCGGUCUGUAAAGUCAGCGGUCAAAGCCCGGGGUUCAACCCGGGCCCGCCGUUGAAACUGGCAGUCUCGAGUUGGAGAGAAGUAUGCGGAAUGCGCGGUGUAGCGGUGAAAUGCAUAGAUAUCGCGCAGAACUCCGAUUGCGAAGGCAGCAUGCCGGCUCCACACUGACGCUGAUGCACGAAAGCGUGGGUAUCGAACAGGAUUAGAUACCCAAGUAGUC